AGGGCCCUGUGAGACAGAGAGGGAGAGAGGGGUGGGUGAGAUCCGGGAGGGAGAUUCCCCUGUGACCGGCCGCCAUCGCCGGAAUCGGUAGGAACGCCACCGCUUUCUCCUCCUCUUAUUAGGUUUUUCCGGCCGCGGGCGCUGCGCCGAUUAGUUUGAGUCCUCGAAUUUGCGGUCUCCCAUCCGCGCCUCGCCUCGCCGCCAUCGAGGGAGGGUGGUUGGGCGAAUCUCGCAUCCGCGCCUCGCCUCGCCGCGACUUGGGGAGGGGGGGUUACGUGGGUGGGUUUGCUUUGGAGUUCGUUGAUUCAAAUUUUUUGCUCGCCCAUGAUUUGAUAUUUGCGAGUACCUGUAUGUAUUGUGUUCUGCGGUGGUUGCUGGGAAGCCCUUUAACAUCCGGGGGUUGCUGAUAGAAUUCGAAGUCACAGGCCUUUUUUCUUGUAAUAUCAGUCAUUGACAGCUAGGUUUAUCCACGUGUUCAUUAGUUCAGUCCCAUGAUGUUCAUUUACCAUGCCAUGUUAUUGGGAUUGUCACUAAUAAUUAGAUAAUGACAGCAUGCGUAUUGCAUAGUCCAGUGCUGCAGUUUGCUAUUAGCUAGAAUCUGCAUAAUGUCAGUGGACUAGUUUUCGGGACUUGCAGCGAUGGUCUGUGCUUCCUUCGUGUGUGGGGAAUCCGCUAUCUCGGUGGGGGAGGUUGAGGUCUGCGCGUUGUGCCGUAGUCUGGAGGAAGAGGGAGCUUGAAGACAUCGGCAGUGGUGGGAUUGGAGUGGUGCCAUGGUUCAAUCAUGUCCGUCUGUAGAUGGCUGUGCUUUAGUAGUAGUAGAACUUCCUGCUUCUUUGAUAUAAACCUUGUCAGCAAGUUGCAGUUUGUGGACUGAAAUAUUGUUGACAGGUUAGUACUUCAUUCUAGUAGUAAAUUGCAUCGGCAACCGGGUGGGUUGGCACCUGAAGCAAUACUUGUAAAUUAUACACAAGCAACUCUUGAAAAUCUGGGCGAUUUUAUGCAACAAUGAUUAGCCCAUGAAUUUCCUUGCCAUGUGGUCUUUGGUGAUAAAAACCCGGGGCCAGAUAAAAUUAAGUGGUUCUAUGGCUUAGGCAUUAUCUAGAUUAACUGAAUCAGCCGAUCAAAGAACUCUGGUGAUUGUAGAUUUUCUUCAUAUUUGCGCAUUGACGAAUGAUUCUGUCAACAACCAGCAGGUCUGGGUGUAUGUAGAGGGUCACCAAUGUAUUGUUUUCCCCUUUUCUGCCCCCCUGCUAGAAGUAAAAUUCAGGGAUGGACCAUCUUUGUUGUAACCAACAUUAGAUCUCUGUAUCCUCCUUUGAUGUGCCUUUUCCCACUGCAGUUUCCUAAAAUAAUUUUUAGUUAGUUGGUCAUAUGAGAUUCAUUUAGAAUGUUGAUAGUUUUGUUUAGCCUAUUAGAUUCAGUUUGGUUUAGUAGCUUUUUCACUGGGUAAUGCCUGUUGUAGUCCUCUGUCUGGGUUGAUUGAUCAUUGAAAAGUCACGUUCACGUAUUUGAACUGGUAUCUUGUCAAUACUUGUAAUUCUUAGUUUUAAUUCUUUCCCGAGUACUCUUUUCUUUGUCAUUUUUCAGUUAUAUUUCUUUCCUAAUUGCUCUUUUUUCCUCUGAUUCGUCAGUUUGAGUUCUUCUUUGUCUUGUCAUUAUUCAGUUUUAGUUCUUCAGUUUGUCAGUGUUAAAGAGGAAUUCUUUCCUGGGUACGUUUGUCUUUCUCUUAGUUUUACGGAUUUGCUAAUUUUCAGACGGAUGAAAAUAAUUGGCGUUCAUUCGUUUUCUUAUCCGUCCGAUCUCUCCGUUGAGAUUAGUGCUAUUCUUUUUUUUUAGCUUGGAGCUGGUUUGGUUGUUAUCGGGGCAGCAAUUAUUUUUGGGGAGACCCGUUAAUUCUCACGCCUGGCGUCUCCUAGCUGAGUGCCCUUUCAUUUUAAUUUUUUCCUUUCGUUUUCCUGUAACGGCCCUUGUCUCUUCCCCUUCCCAUUUCUGCGACGAGAGCUCGGUGAGAUAGAGAGGGAGAAGCAUGGCGAUUUCGAUUUGGAGCUCUCCUGCGCUGCUCGCUUGAGGGAUUGGUGGUCAGGUGUUCGGAGCUCGUCAGGCCGUUGUGGUUUUUAUUUUCUCCCCUCCCUGCAUCUCUAUCCUCUGUUCCUUGUUCCCUUCUGUUUUCCUCGGAAGAUUUGUGGGUUGCUCGUGUGCUGUUAUGUGUAAUUUUAGUUGAUGCUCCCUCGUUAAAUGCUUGUGUUAUUUUCUCCGCUCGUUUUUGCCUGAUUCUGUUCUCUGCGUCUAGAUGUUUGUGGUUUUGAUGUUCGUGUCCUGGGUUUCUUCAGCUAGACCGUUUCGAUCUGAAAUUUUAUCUGCUAGUGGUUAGUUUGUAACCUGAUUUAUGGAGAUUUAUGUUAGUUAUCUACCCAGUAGCUAUUGAUUUUUAGAUCUGGUAUCCUUUUGCUGUGAGUUGAGCUGGGAGAAAAUUAGUUCAUCAUACUACUUCACCUGCUGGAUCGAGGUGCUGUUUGUAAAUGCUAUUGAUUAUGAAAUAGCAGAUGAGAGGGAAUCUGUUUUUUGUAUCCAUUGUAGGGGCAGUUGGAUUUGUCUUUGUUCUCUAGUGCUUGUAAUCCAUGUAGGUGAGGGUGGUAGUCUGUGUAAGUGUAACUUCGUGGUGCUGUGUAAUCCAUGUACUUCGCCUGUUCGAUCGUGGUGUUUUUUUGUAAAUGCAAUGUCUGUAUAUAGCCCUGCUCCUCCAGUGUGCAUUGGCAGCAAGGAAAAAAGCAAGUUUCUAGCUGGCUAUUUCAGAGUGCUCUGUGCAAUACACUCCGUGGAUAGAAAGAAUUUGUGAUCUCUGCUUUUCGGUCUUCUGGUAUUACAGGUUCUUAGAUCUCAGAAAAAAUCACUAGGCAUGAGAAAAGGAGUUGGAAUUGAGUGACUUGUGACAUGUGGAUCGUCUCGUGUAUGAUUGUCUCUUGUACGAAUCGAUUUUGAAAAAUUUGACGUUGUCUACCUAGCUGUUCCCAACCAGACAAAUAUAAAAGUAUGGCUGACCUUAUCUUCUUUUA